UCCAGAAAAAUUCAGCCCUUCUCCCUUCCUUUCUACAUAAUUAAAUUGAGGGAUUUCAUGGCAAAUUGAAGGAAAAAGAUGGAGGUCACAAUAGCCAUGGCAACUCACGGCCAUGGCUGCACUUGAAGAGGUCACAUGCUUCCUUUAAGAGUUUUGCUUCUAAGAUUUUGGAGAGUUUGGGACUUGAAUUUGGAGUAGCGUAAGAAGCGGAAAAGGUACUCCCAGGUGAGUUGAAGACAGUAUAGAAGAUGUUCCAGUGCAGAUGGCAAGCUCCAUUUGUUCCCGGAGUGCUGCCGAGUCAGAGUUGGUAUGUUAUGCUUUCUGGAUUACGUUAGAGACUUUGCAGACAGCGUCGUGGGUA